AGGUGGAGCAAAACUCAAAAAAUAGAUCUCAGUUCGGACUGUAGGCUGCAACUCGCCUACACGAAGUUGGAAUUGCUAGUAAUCGUGGAUCAGCAUGCCACGGUGAAUACGUUCCCGGGUCUUGUACACACCGCCCGUCACACCAUGGGAGCUGGUAACACCCGAAGUCAGUAGUCUAACCGCAAGGAGGACGCUGCCGAAGGUGGGAUUAGCGACUGGGGUGAAGUCGUAACAAGGUAUC
rnacentral:rRNA from 1 species